UUACCAGACUCCUACGGGAGGCAGCAGUGAGGAAUAUUGGUCAAUGGGCGAGAGCCUGAACCAGCCAAGUCGCGUGAAGGAUGACGGCCCUACGGGUUGUAAACUUCUUUUGUCAGGGAGCAAUUGGGUCCACGCGUGGGCUUAGCGAGAGUACCUGAAGAAAAAGCAUCGGCUAACUCCGUGCCAGCAGCCGCGGUAAUACGGAGGAUGCGAGCGUUAUCCGGAUUUAUUGGGUUUAAAGGGUGCGCAGGCGGAAGAUCAAGUCAGCGGUAAAAUGGAGGGGCUCAACCUCUGCGAGCCGUUGAAACUGGUUUUCUUGAGUGAGUGAGAAGUAUGCGGAAUGCGUGGUGUAGCGGUGAAAUGCAUAGAUAUCACGCAGAACUCCGAUUGCGAAGGCAGCAUACCGGCGCUCAACUGACGCUCAUGCACGAAAGUGUGGGUAUCGAACAGGAUUAGAUACCCCAGUAA
rnacentral:rRNA from 1 species